UGACAGGCUAUGAUGGAGAAUAGUACGGCAAUUGAAAGGAUCUCAGAGAGUUUGUGGUCGCUGCGAACAAACAUCCCCCUUGCCCGAAUGGACUUACCUGAGCCUCCUGCCGGAACUAAUAGUAUGGCAUGGACGUUAAUGCCCGCGUUAUUGGGCAAUCAUGCUUUCAUAAUAAGCAUGAUAUAGAGCCGGUUUAUGUAUGAAGAUCAUAAACAAUUAGGGUGGUACCGCGAAUCCCAUUCGUCCCUUUU
rnacentral:ncRNA from 1 species